GACGAACGCUGGCGGCGUGCUUAACACAUGCAAGUCGAACGGAAAGGCCCUGCUUUUGUGGGGUGCUCGAGUGGCGAACGGGUGAGUAACACGUGAGUAACCUGCCCUUGACUUUGGGAUAACUUCAGGAAACUGGGGCUAAUACCGGAUAGGAGCUCCUGCUGCAUGGUGGGGGUUGGAAAGUUUCGGCGGUUGGGGAUGGACUGGCGGCUUAUCAGCUUGUUGGUGGGGUAGUGGCUUACCAAGGCUUUGACGGGUAGCCGGCCUGAGAGGGUGACCGGCCACAUUGGGACUGAGAUACGGCCCAGACUCCUACGGGAGGCAGCAGUGGGGAAUAUUGCACAAUGGGCGGAAGCCUGAUGCAGCAACGCCGCGUGCGGGAUGACGGCAUUCGGGUUGUAAACCGCUUUCGCCUGUGACGAAGCGUGAGUGACGGUAAUGGGUAAAGAAGCACCGGCUAACUACGUG
rnacentral:rRNA from 1 species